GCAACGCGAAGAACCUUACCAGGCCUUGACAUGCAGAGAACUUUCCAGAGAUGGAUUGGUGCCUUCGGGAACUCUGACACAGGUGCUGCAUGGCUGUCGUCAGCUCGUGUCGUGGGAUGUUGGGUUAAGUCCCGUAACGAGCGCAACCCUUGUCCUUAGUUACCAGCACGUUAUGGUGGGCACUCUAAGGAGACUGCCGGUGACAAACCGGAGGAAGGUGGGGAUGACGUCAAGUCCUCAUGGCCUUUAUGACCAGGGCUACACACGUACUACAAUGGCCGAUACAAAGGGCAGCGACACUGCGAGGUGAAGCCAAUCCCGUAAAAUCGGUCUCAGUCCGGAUUGGAGUCUGCAACUCGACUCCAUGAAGUUGGAAUCGCUAGUAAUCGUGAAUCAGAAUGUCACGGUGAAUACGUUCCCGGGCCUU
rnacentral:rRNA from 1 species